GGGGAUUUAGCUCAGUGGUAGAGUGCUUGCCUAGAGCGCUUGCCUAGCAAGCGCAAGGCCCUGGGUUCAGUCCCCA
rnacentral:tRNA from 1 species